rnacentral:rRNA from 1 species
AGCGUACACGGUGGAUGCCCUGGCAGUCAGAGGCGAUGAAGGACGUGCUAAUCUGCGAUAAGCGUCGGUAAGGUGAUAUGAACCGUUAUAACCGGCGAUUUCCGAAUGGGGAAACCCAGUGUGAUUCGUCACACUAUCAUUAACUGAAUCCAUAGGUUAAUGAGGCGAACCGGGGGAACUGAAACAUCUAAGUACCCCGAGGAAAAGAAAUCAACCGAGAUUCCCCCAGUAGCGGCGAGCGAACGGGGAGCAGCCCAGAGCCUGAAUCAGUGUGUGUGUUAGUGGAAGCGUCUGGAAAGGCGCGCGAUACAGGGUGACAGCCCCGUACACAAAAAUGCACAUGCUGUGAGCUCGAUGAGUAGGGCGGGACACGUGGUAUCCUGUCUGAAUAUGGGGGGACCAUCCUCCAAGGCUAAAUACUCCUGACUGACCGAUAGUGAACCAGUACCGUGAGGGAAAGGCGAAAAGAACCCCGGCGAGGGGAGUGAAAAAGAACCUGAAACCGUGUACGUACAAGCAGUGGGAGCCUCUUAAUGGGGUGACUGCGUACCUUUUGUAUAAUGGGUCAGCGACUUAUAUUCUGUAGCAAGGUUAACCGAAUAGGGGAGCCGAAGGGAAACCGAGUCUUAACUGGGCGUUAAGUUGCAGGGUAUAGACCCGAAACCCGGUGAUCUAGCCAUGGGCAGGUUGAAGGUUGGGUAACACUAACUGGAGGACCGAACCGACUAAUGUUGAAAAAUUAGCGGAUGACUUGUGGCUGGGGGUGAAAGGCCAAUCAAACCGGGAGAUAGCUGGUUCUCCCCGAAAGCUAUUUAGGUAGCGCCUCGUGAAUUCAUCUCCGGGGGUAGAGCACUGUUUCGGCAAGGGGGUCAUCCCGACUUACCAACCCGAUGCAAACUGCGAAUACCGGAGAAUGUUAUCACGGGAGACACACGGCGGGUGCUAACGUCCGUCGUGAAGAGGGAAACAACCCAGACCGCCAGCUAAGGUCCCAAAGUCAUGGUUAAGUGGGAAACGAUGUGGGAAGGCCCAGACAGCCAGGAUGUUGGCUUAGAAGCAGCCAUCAUUUAAAGAAAGCGUAAUAGCUCACUGGUCGAGUCGGCCUGCGCGGAAGAUGUAACGGGGCUAAACCAUGCACCGAAGCUGCGGCAGCGACACUAUGUGUUGUUGGGUAGGGGAGCGUUCUGUAAGCCUGUGAAGGUGUGCUGUGAGGCAUGCUGGAGGUAUCAGAAGUGCGAAUGCUGACAUAAGUAACGAUAAAGCGGGUGAAAAGCCCGCUCGCCGGAAGACCAAGGGUUCCUGUCCAACGUUAAUCGGGGCAGGGUGAGUCGACCCCUAAGGCGAGGCCGAAAGGCGUAGUCGAUGGGAAACAGGUUAAUAUUCCUGUACUUGGUGUUACUGCGAAGGGGGGACGGAGAAGGCUAUGUUGGCCGGGCGACGGUUGUCCCGGUUUAAGCGUGUAGGCUGGUUUUCCAGGCAAAUCCGGAAAAUCAAGGCUGAGGCGUGAUGACGAGGCACUACGGUGCUGAAGCAACAAAUGCCCUGCUUCCAGGAAAAGCCUCUAAGCAUCAGGUAACAUCAAAUCGUACCCCAAACCGACACAGGUGGUCAGGUAGAGAAUACCAAGGCGCUUGAGAGAACUCGGGUGAAGGAACUAGGCAAAAUGGUGCCGUAACUUCGGGAGAAGGCACGCUGAUAUGUAGGUGAAGUCCCUCGCGGAUGGAGCUGAAAUCAGUCGAAGAUACCAGCUGGCUGCAACUGUUUAUUAAAAACACAGCACUGUGCAAACACGAAAGUGGACGUAUACGGUGUGACGCCUGCCCGGUGCCGGAAGGUUAAUUGAUGGGGUUAGCGGUAACGCGAAGCUCUUGAUCGAAGCCCCGGUAAACGGCGGCCGUAACUAUAACGGUCCUAAGGUAGCGAAAUUCCUUGUCGGGUAAGUUCCGACCUGCACGAAUGGCGUAAUGAUGGCCAGGCUGUCUCCACCCGAGACUCAGUGAAAUUGAACUCGCUGUGAAGAUGCAGUGUACCCGCGGCAAGACGGAAAGACCCCGUGAACCUUUACUAUAGCUUGACACUGAACAUUGAGCCUUGAUGUGUAGGAUAGGUGGGAGGCUUUGAAGUGUGGACGCCAGUCUGCAUGGAGCCGACCUUGAAAUACCACCCUUUAAUGUUUGAUGUUCUAACGUUGGCCCCUGAUCGGGGUUGCGGACAGUGUCUGGUGGGUAGUUUGACUGGGGCGGUCUCCUCCUAAAGAGUAACGGAGGAGCACGAAGGUUGGCUAAUCCUGGUCGGACAUCAGGAGGUUAGUGCAAUGGCAUAAGCCAGCUUGACUGCGAGCGUGACGGCGCGAGCAGGUGCGAAAGCAGGUCAUAGUGAUCCGGUGGUUCUGAAUGGAAGGGCCAUCGCUCAACGGAUAAAAGGUACUCCGGGGAUAACAGGCUGAUACCGCCCAAGAGUUCAUAUCGACGGCGGUGUUUGGCACCUCGAUGUCGGCUCAUCACAUCCUGGGGCUGAAGUAGGUCCCAAGGGUAUGGCUGUUCGCCAUUUAAAGUGGUACGCGAGCUGGGUUUAGAACGUCGUGAGACAGUUCGGUCCCUAUCUGCCGUGGGCGCUGGAGAACUGAGGGGGGCUGCUCCUAGUACGAGAGGACCGGAGUGGACGCAUCACUGGUGUUCGGGUUGUCAUGCCAAUGGCACUGCCCGGUAGCUAAAUGCGGAAGAGAUAAGUGCUGAAAGCAUCUAAGCACGAAACUUGCCCCGAGAUGAGUUCU